CGGUGGAGUAUGUGGGGUAAGUCGAUGCAAGCGCGAAGAGCCUGACCUGGGUUUGACAUCGGUGGAAUCCCUGGGAGAUGAGGGAGUGCCCUUCGGGGAAUGAAGUGACAGGUGCUGCAUGGCUGUCGUCAGCUCGUGCCGUGAGGUGUUGGGUUAAGUCCCGCAACGAGCGCAACCCACGUCCUUAGUUGCCAGCACGUGAUGGUGGGCACUCUAGGGAGACCGCCCGGUCAAGCCGGGAGGAAGGUGUGGACGACGUCAAGUCAUCAUGGCCCUUACGCCCAGGGCUACACACGUACUACAAUGGCGAGGACAACGGGCCGCGAUGCCGCGAGGCGGAGCCAAUCCCGAAAACCUCGUCCCAGUUCGGAUUGCAGUCUGCAACUCGACUGCAUGAAGGUGGAAUCGCUAGUAAUCCCGGAUCAGCAUGCCGGGGUGAAUACGUUCCCGGGCGUUGUACACACCGCCCGUCACACCACGAAAGUCGGUUCUACCCGAAGCCGCCGGGCCAACCUCGGAGGCAGGCGUCUACGGUAGG
rnacentral:rRNA from 1 species